GGACGAACGCUGGCGGCGUGCCUAAUACAUGCAAGUCGAACGAACGGAGGAAGAGCUUGCUCUUCCAAAGUUAGUGGCGGACGGGUGAGUAACACGUGGGCAACCUGCCUGUAAGUUGGGGAUAACUCCGGGAAACCGGGGCUAAUACCGAAUGAUAAAGUGUGGCGCAUGCCACGCUUUUGAAAGAUGGUUUCGGCUAUCGCUUACAGAUGGGCCCGCGGUGCAUUAGCUAGUUGGUAGGGUAAUGGCCUACCAAGGCAACGAUGCAUAGCCGACCUGAGAGGGUGAUCGGCCACACUGGGACUGAGACACGGCCCAGACUCCUACGGGAGGCAGCAGUAGGGAAUCUUCCGCAAUGGACGAAAGUCUGACGGAGCAACGCCGCGUGUAUGAAGAAGGUUUUCGGAUCGUAAAGUACUGUUGUUAGAGAAGAACAAGGAUAAGAGUAACUGCUUGUCCCUUGACGGUAUCUAACCAGAAAGCCACGG
rnacentral:rRNA from 1 species